rnacentral:rRNA from 1 species
UGGGAUACCACUUGGAAACAGGUGCUAAUACCGGAUAACAACAAUAGCUGCAUGGCUAUUGCUUAAAAGGCGGCGAAAGCUGUCGCUAAAGGAUGGACCCGCGGUGCAUUAGCUAGUUGGUAAGGUAAUGGCUUACCAAGGCGACGAUGCAUAGCCGAGUUGAGAGACUGAUCGGCCACAUUGGGACUGAGACACGGCCCAAACUCCUACGGGAGGCAGCAGUAGGGAAUCUUCCACAAUGGGCGAAAGCCUGAUGGAGCAACGCCGCGUGAGUGAAGAAGGUUUUCGGAUCGUAAAGCUCUGUUGUUGGUGAAGAAGGAUAGAGGUAGUAACUGGCCCCUAUUUGACGGUAAUCAACCAGAAAGUCACGGCUAACUACGUGCCAGCAGCCGCGGUAAUACGUAGGUGGCAAGCGUUGUCCGGAUUUAUUGGGCGUAAAGCGAGCGCAGGCGGAAGGAUAAGUCUGAUGUGAAAGCCCCCGGCUUAACCGAGGAAUUGCAUCGGAAACUGUGUUUCUUGAGUGCAGAAGAGGAGAGUGGAACUCCAUGUGUAGCGGUGGAAUGCGUAGAUAUAUGGAAGAACACCAGUGGCGAAGGCGGCUCUCUGGUCUGUAACUGACGCUGAGGCUCGAAAGCAUGGGUAGCGAACAGGAUUAGAUACCCUGGUAGUCCAUGCCGUAAACGAUGAG